GUGGGUCGCACAGCUUUGGAGUGGCAACCUUCAUGGCGUCAGUGACGAAAAAGAGAUUAAAUAUGGGUGAUGUUGAGAAAGGUAAGAAGAUUUUUGUUAAGAAGUGUGCCCAGUGCCACACGGUAGAAAAGGGAGGCAAACACAAGACUGGGCCUAAUCUCCAUGGUCUCUUUGCACGGAAGACAGGUCAGGCCAUUGGAUUCUCUUACACAGACGCCAAGAAGAAAAAAGGCAUCACCUGGGGAGAGGAUAAACUGAUGGAGCAUUUGGAGAAUCCCAAAAAGAAAAAUGAUCUUUGCCGGAAUUAAGAAGGCAGAAGGGGCAGACUUAAUAACUUAUCUCAAAAAAGCUACUAAUGAGUAAUAAUUGGCCACUGCCUUAUUUAUUACAAAACAAAUGUCUCAUGACUUUUUUAUGUGUACCAUACUUUAAUAGAUCUCAUAUACCAGAAUUCAGA